UACGUAGGGCGCAAGCGUUAUCCGGAAUUAUUGGGCGUAAAGAGCUCGUAGGCGGUUUGUCGCGUCUGCCGUGAAAGUCCGGGGCUCAACUCCGGAUCUGCGGUGGGUACGGGCAGACUAGAGUGAUGUAGGGGGAGACUGGAAUUCCUGGUGUAGCGGUGAAAUGCGCAGAUAUCAGGAGGAACACCGGUGGCGAAGGCGGGUCUCUGGGCCGUAACUGACGCUGAGGAGCAAAAGCGUGGGGAGCGAACAGG
rnacentral:rRNA from 1 species